rnacentral:rRNA from 1 species
UUUAGCAUGGAAUAAUGGAAUAGGACGGCCUUCCUAUUUUGUUGGUUUCUAGGAAAGCCGUAAUGAUUAAUAGGGAUAGUCGGGGGUGUCAGUAUUCAAUUGUCAGAGGUGAAAUUCUUGGAUUUAUUGAAGACUAACUACUGCGAAAGCAUUCACCAAGGAUGUUUUCAUUAAUCAGUGAACGAAAGUUAGGGGAUCGAAGACGAUCAGAUACCGUCGUAGUCUUAACCAUAAACUAUGCCGACUAGGGAUCGGUGGAUGUUAUUAUUUUGACUCCAUCGGCACCUUACGAGAAAUCAAAGUUUUUGGGUUCUGGGGGGAGUAUGGUCGCAAGGCUGAAACUUAAAGAAAUUGACGGAAGGGCACCACCAGGAGUGGAGCCUGCGGCUUAAUUUGACUCAACACGGGGAAACUCACCAGGUCCAGACACAAGUAGGAUUGACAGAUUGAGAGCUCUUUCUUGAUUUUGUGGUUGGUGGUGCAUGGCCGUUCUUAGUUGGUGGAGUGAUUUGUCUGCUUAAUUGCGAUAACGAACGAGACCUUAACCUGCUAAAUAGCCCGGCGAGCUUUGGCUCGUUGCCGGCUUCUUAGAGGGACUAUCGGCUCAAGCCGAUGGAAGUUUGAGGCAAUAACAGGUCUGUGAUGCCCUUAGAUGUUUUGGGCCGCACGCGCGCUACACUGACAGAGCCAACGAGUUCAUUCCUUGAUAGAGAUGUCUGGGUAAUCUUGUUAAACUCUGUCGUGCUGGGGAUAGAGCAUUGCAAUA